GGGCAAUUAGCUCAGCUGGCCAGAGCGUUCGGUUCACAUCCGAAAGGGCGCAGGUUCAAGUCCUGCAUUGCCCACCA
rnacentral:tRNA from 1 species